CUCUUCAAGAACCUAUCACAUUCAUUAAAUUUUUUCUCAGCAUCAGCAAGUUUGGCAGCCAUAUCUGCCUCAAGCUCAGAAUGCACUUUACGCAGCUUCAUGAGAUCAUUGACCUUGGCCGUUAACUCAUCAUUCAGCCAUGCAAUAUGCCUCUCAACAAGCUCCUUCUCCUGCAAAAGCCGCGUACAAGAAGCCUGAGAGCGUGAUACUUCAGUCUCCAAGUCACAGACCCGCGCUUCCCUAGUCGCAGCAGUUUCAGUCAAAUGAAGUAUCUUAUCAAGAUAGCUUUUGAUAGUGGAAUUUUUCUCACUGAUCUCCAAGUCUUUCUGCUCCACCAAUUCCAUCAACUGCCUCUUCGUUUUCCGCAGUUCUGAAGCCUCUGUGGAUAACCUGUCCACAUCUCCAUCCUUUCCAAUCUGUUUUCAUGUUCCAGAAAAACAAUCAAAUACAAUAGGAAAAAAAACAUUGCAAAAAAUACAGAAUUUAGGGUGUGCACUAACUAAGGAGAAACCUAACAUAUCAAAAGUACACGAAAAGACUUAGGAAUUAGGAAUUAGAAAAGACUUACAGAUUGGAUGUGAACUUGCUGCUUCUCGGCUUGUACUUGAGAGAGUUCAGAGAGGCGUCUCUCAAACGA
rnacentral:lncRNA from 1 species